rnacentral:rRNA from 1 species
UUAAGCGACUAAGCGUACACGGUGGAUGCCCUGGCAGUCAGAGGCGAUGAAGGACGUGCUAAUCUGCGAUAAGCGUCGGUGAGGUGAUAUGAACCGUUAUAACCGGCGAUUUCCGAAUGGGGAAACCCAGUGUGUUUCGACACACUAUCAUUAACUGAAUCCAUAGGUUAAUGAGGCGAACCGGGGGAACUGAAACAUCUAAGUACCCCGAGGAAAAGAAAUCAACCGAGAUUCCCCCAGUAGCGGCGAGCGAACGGGGAGGAGCCCAGAGCCUGAAUCAGUGUGUGUGUUAGUGGAAGCGUCUGGAAAGGCGUGCGAUACAGGGUGACAGCCCCGUACACAAAAAUGCACAUAUUGUGAGCUCGAUGAGUAGGGCGGGACACGUGGUAUCCUGUCUGAAUAUGGGGGGACCAUCCUCCAAGGCUAAAUACUCCUGACUGACCGAUAGUGAACCAGUACCGUGAGGGAAAGGCGAAAAGAACCCCGGCGAGGGGAGUGAAAAAGAACCUGAAACCGUGUACGUACAAGCAGUGGGAGCCUCUUAAUGGGGUGACUGCGUACCUUUUGUAUAAUGGGUCAGCGACUUAUAUUCUGUAGCAAGGUUAACCGAAUAGGGGAGCCGAAGGGAAACCGAGUCUUAACUGGGCGUUAAGUUGCAGGGUAUAGACCCGAAACCCGGUGAUCUAGCCAUGGGCAGGUUGAAGGUUGGGUAACACUAACUGGAGGACCGAACCGACUAAUGUUGAAAAAUUAGCGGAUGACUUGUGGCUGGGGGUGAAAGGCCAAUCAAACCGGGAGAUAGCUGGUUCUCCCCGAAAGCUAUUUAGGUAGCGCCUCGUGAAUUCAUCUCCGGGGGUAGAGCACUGUUUCGGCAAGGGGGUCAUCCCGACUUACCAACCCGAUGCAAACUGCGAAUACCGGAGAAUGUUAUCACGGGAGACACACGGCGGGUGCUAACGUCCGUCGUGAAGAGGGAAACAACCCAGACCGCCAGCUAAGGUCCCAAAGUCAUGGUUAAGUGGGAAACGAUGUGGGAAGGCCCAGACAGCCAGGAUGUUGGCUUAGAAGCAGCCAUCAUUUAAAGAAAGCGUAAUAGCUCACUGGUCGAGUCGGCCUGCGCGGAAGAUGUAACGGGGCUAAACCAUGCACCGAAGCUGCGGCAGCGACACUAUGUGUUGUUGGGUAGGGGAGCGUUCUGUAAGCCUGUGAAGGUGGCCUGUGAGGGUUGCUGGAGGUAUCAGAAGUGCGAAUGCUGACAUAAGUAACGAUAAAGCGGGUGAAAAGCCCGCUCGCCGGAAGACCAAGGGUUCCUGUCCAACGUUAAUCGGGGCAGGGUGAGUCGACCCCUAAGGCGAGGCCGAAAGGCGUAGUCGAUGGGAAACAGGUUAAUAUUCCUGUACUUGGUGUUACUGCGAAGGGGGGACGGAGAAGGCUAUGUUGGCCGGGCGACGGUUGUCCCGGUUUAAGCGUGUAGGCUGGUUUUCCAGGCAAAUCCGGAAAACCAAGGCUGAGGCGUGAUGACGAGGCACUACGGUGCUGAAGCGACAAAUGCCCUGCUUCCAGGAAAAGCCUCUAAGCAUCAGGUAACAUCAAAUCGUACCCCAAACCGACACAGGUGGUCAGGUAGAGAAUACCAAGGCGCUUGAGAGAACUCGGGUGAAGGAACUAGGCAAAAUGGUGCCGUAACUUCGGGAGAAGGCACGCUGAUAUGUAGGUGAAUCGACUUGCUCGUGGAGCUGAAAUCAGUCGAAGAUACCAGCUGGCUGCAACUGUUUAUUAAAAACACAGCACUGUGCAAACACGAAAGUGGACGUAUACGGUGUGACGCCUGCCCGGUGCCGGAAGGUUAAUUGAUGGGGUUAGCGGCAACGCGAAGCUCUUGAUCGAAGCCCCGGUAAACGGCGGCCGUAACUAUAACGGUCCUAAGGUAGCGAAAUUCCUUGUCGGGUAAGUUCCGACCUGCACGAAUGGCGUAAUGAUGGCCAGGCUGUCUCCACCCGAGACUCAGUGAAAUUGAACUCGCUGUGAAGAUGCAGUGUACCCGCGGCAAGACGGAAAGACCCCGUGAACCUUUACUAUAGCUUGACACUGAACAUUGAGCCUUGAUGUGUAGGAUAGGUGGGAGGCUUUGAAGUGUGGACGCCAGUCUGCAUGGAGCCGACCUUGAAAUACCACCCUUUAAUGUUUGAUGUUCUAACGUUGGCCCGUAAUCCGGGUUGCGGACAGUGUCUGGUGGGUAGUUUGACUGGGGCGGUCUCCUCCUAAAGAGUAACGGAGGAGCACGAAGGUUGGCUAAUCCUGGUCGGACAUCAGGAGGUUAGUGCAAUGGCAUAAGCCAGCUUGACUGCGAGCGUGACGGCGCGAGCAGGUGCGAAAGCAGGUCAUAGUGAUCCGGUGGUUCUGAAUGGAAGGGCCAUCGCUCAACGGAUAAAAGGUACUCCGGGGAUAACAGGCUGAUACCGCCCAAGAGUUCAUAUCGACGGCGGUGUUUGGCACCUCGAUGUCGGCUCAUCACAUCCUGGGGCUGAAGUAGGUCCCAAGGGUAUGGCUGUUCGCCAUUUAAAGUGGUACGCGAGCUGGGUUUAGAACGUCGUGAGACAGUUCGGUCCCUAUCUGCCGUGGGCGCUGGAGAACUGAGGGGGGCUGCUCCUAGUACGAGAGGACCGGAGUGGACGCAUCACUGGUGUUCGGGUUGUCAUGCCAAUGGCACUGCCCGGUAGCUAAAUGCGGAAGAGAUAAGUGCUGAAAGCAUCUAAGCACGAAACUUGCCCCGAGAUGAGUUCUCCCUGACUCCUUGAGGGUCCUGAAGGAACGUUGAAGACGACGACGUUGAUAGGCCGGGUGUGUAAGCGCAGCGAUGCGUUGAGCUAACCGGUACUAAUGAACCGUGAGGCUUAACCUU